rnacentral:rRNA from 1 species
CCUACGGUGGGCUGCAGUGAGGAAUAUUGGUCAAUGGGCGCGAGCCUGACCCAGCCAAGUCGCGUGAGGGAGGACGGCCCUACGGGUUGUAAACCUCUUUUGCCGGGGAGCAACGGGCGUCACGUGUGGCGCCACUGAGAGUCCCCGGAGAAAACGCAUCGGCUAACUCCGUGCCAGCAGCCGCGGUAAUACGGAGGAUGCGAGCGUUAUCGGGAUUUAGUGGGUUUAAAGGGUGCGUAGGCGGAUCGUUAAGUCAGUGGUCAAAUUGAGGGGCUCAACCCCUUCCCGCCAUUGAAACUGGCGUUCUUGAGUGGAAGAGAAGUAUGCGGAAUGCGUGGUGUAGCGGUGAAAUGCAGAGAUAUCACGCAGAACUCCGAGUGCGAAGGCAGCAUACCGGCGCCCAACUGACGCUGAAGCACGAAAGCGUGGGUAUCGAACAGGAUUAGAUACCCGGGUAGUC